rnacentral:rRNA from 1 species
GACGGAGGGUGCUAGCGUUGUUCGGAAUGACUGGGCGUAAAGGGUGCGUAGGCGGUUUCGUAAGUCAGAUGUGAAAGCCCAGGGCUUAACCUUGGAAUGGCAUUUGAUACUGUGAGACUAGAGACUGGAAGAGGAAAGCGGAAUUCCUAGUGUAGAGGUGAAAUUCGUAGAUAUUAGGAGGAACACCAGAGGCGAAGGCGGCUUUCUGGUCCAGAUCUGACGCUGAGGCACGAAAGCGUGGGGAGCAAAC